UCAGUCGACUCCUACGGGAGGCAGCAGUGGGGAAUCUUGGACAAUGGGGGCAACCCUGAUCCAGCCAUGCCGCGUGAGUGAUGAAGGCCUUAGGGUCGUAAAGCUCUUUCGCCUGUGAUGAUAAUGACAGUAGCAGGUAAAGAAACCCCGGCUAACUCCGUGCCAGCAGCCGCGGUAAUACGGAGGGGUUAGCGUUGUUCGGAAUUACUGGGCGUAAAGCGCGCGUAGGCGGAUUAGUCAGUUAGAGGUGAAAUCCCAGGGCUCAACCCUGGAACUGCCUUUAAUACUGCUAGUCUUGAGUUCGAGAGAGGUGAGUGGAAUUCCGAGUGUAGAGGUGAAAUUCGUAGAUAUUCGGAGGAACACCAGUGGCGAAGGCGGCUCACUGGCUCGAUACUGACGCUGAGGUGCGAAAGUGUGGGGAGCAAACAGGAUUAGAUACCCUGGUAG
rnacentral:rRNA from 1 species